rnacentral:piRNA from 1 species
UAAAAUCCAAUUGGCGGAGUUGU